GACGAACGCUAGCGGCGUGCCUAAUACAUGCAAGUCGAGCGAGACUCUUCGGAGUCUAGCGGCGGACGGGUGAGUAACACGUGGGCAACCUGCCUGUAAGACUGGGAUAACACCGGGAAACCGGUGCUAAUACCGGAUAAUCCUUUUCCUCUCAUGAGGAAAAGCUGAAAGUCGGUUUCAGCUGACACUUACAGAUGGGCCCGCGGCGCAUUAGCUAGUUGGUGAGGUAACGGCUCACCAAGGCGACGAUGCGUAGCCGACCUGAGAGGGUGAUCGGCCACACUGGGACUGAGACACGGCCCAGACUCCUACGGGAGGCAGCAGUAGGGAAUCUUCCACAAUGGACGAAAGUCUGAUGGAGCAACGCCGCGUGAGCGAUGAAGGCCUUCGGGUCGUAAAGCUCUGUUGUUAGGGAAGAACAAGUACCGGAGUAACUGCCGGUACCUUGACGGUACCUAACCAGAAAGCCACGGCUAACUACGUGCCAGCCGCCGCCGUAACAC
rnacentral:rRNA from 1 species